rnacentral:rRNA from 1 species
AUUGAACGCUGGCGGCACGCCUUACUCAUGCAAGUCGAACGGCAGCACGGGAGCAAUCCUGGUGGCGAGUAGCGAACGGGUGAGUAAAGUAUCGGAACGUGCCCAGUCGUGGGGGAUAACGUAGCGAAAGUUACGCUAAUACCGCAUACGAUCUAUGGAUGAAAGCGGGGGAUCGCAAGACCUCGCGCGAUUGGAGCGGCCGAUAUCAGAUUAGGUAGUUGGUGGGGUAAAGGCUCACCAAGCCGACGAUCUGUAGCUGGUCUGAGAGGACGACCAGCCACACUGGGACUGAGACACGGCCCAGACUCCUACGGGAGGCAGCAGUGGGGAAUUUUGGACAAUGGGCGAAAGCCUGAUCCAGCCAUGCCGCGUGCAGGAUGAAGGCCUUCGGGUUGUAAACUGCUUUUGUACGGAACGAAAAGGUUUGGCCUAAUAAGCUGAGCUCAUGACGGUACCGUAAGAAUAAGCACCGGCUAACUACGUGCCAGCCGCCGCCGUAA